UACGUAGGGCGCAAGCGUUUGUCCGGAAUUAUUGGGCGUAAAGAGCUCGUAGGCGGCCUGUUGCGUCCGCUGUGAAAUCCCGGGGGCUCAACCCCGGGCCUGCAGUGGAUACGGGCUGGCUAGAGGCAGGCAGGGGGAGAACGGAAUUCCUGGUGUAGCGGUGAAAUGCGCAGAUAUCAGGAGGAACACCGGUGGCGAAGGCGGUUCUCUGGGUCUGUACUGACGCUGAGGAGCGAAAGCGUGGGGGAGCGAACAGG
rnacentral:rRNA from 1 species